GUUGGGACUGGGGUUCACUGCUCUUCCUAUCUUUCAAGUUUCCUGGCCGUCAGAAGAUCCACAUCUCCAAGAAGUGGGGAUUUACCA